GACGAACGCUGGCGGCGUGCUUAACACAUGCAAGUCGAACGGAGUGGCGAACGGGUGAGUAACAAGUGGGUGACCUGCCCUGCACUUCGGGGUAAGCCCGGGAAACUGGGUCUAAUACCGGAUAGCGUGGGAUGGGCCCGCGGCCUAUCAGCUUGUCGGGGGGGUAAUGGCCUAGCAAGGCGGCGACGGGUAGCCGGCCUGGGAGGGUGGACGGGCACAGUGGGCCUAGGGCACGCGCCAGAGUCCUACGGGGGGCAGCGGGGGGGAAUAUUGCACAAUGGGCGGAAGCCUGAUGCAGCGGCUCCGCGUUGGUGAUGUCGGCCUUCGGGUUGUAAACGCCUUUCACCAUCGACGCGGUAGAUGGAGAAGAAGCACCGGCUAACUACGUGCCAGCAGCCGCGGUAAUUC
rnacentral:rRNA from 1 species